UACGUAGGGUGCGAGCGUUGUCCGGAAUUAUUGGGCGUAAAGAGCUCGUAGGCGGUCUGUUGCGUCGGCUGUGAAAACCCGGGGCUCAACCCCGGGCCUGCAGCCGAUACGGGCAGGCUAGAGUUCGGUAGGGGAGACUGGAAUUCCUGGUGUAGCGGUGAAAUGCGCAGAUAUCAGGAGGAACACCGGUGGCGAAGGCGGGUCUCUGGGCCGAUACUGACGCUGAGGAGCGAAAGCGUGGGGAGCGAACAGG
rnacentral:rRNA from 1 species